AUUGAACGCUGGCGGCAGGCCUAACACAUGCAAGUCGAACGAGUGGCGGACGGGUGAGUAAUGUCUGGGAAUCUGCCUUAUGGAGGGGGAUAACUACUGGAAACUGUCGCUAAUACCGCAUACCAUCGGAUGUGCCCAGAUGGGAUUAGCUAGUUGGUGGGGUAAUGGCUCACCUAGGCGACGAUCCCUAGCUGGGCUGAGAGGAUGACCAGCCACACCGGAACUGAGACACGGUCCAGACUCCUACGGGAGGCAGCAGUGGGGAAUAUUGCGCAAUGGGCGCAAGCCUGAUGCAGCCAUGCCGCGUGUAUGAAGAAGGCCUUCGGGUUGUAAAGUACUUUCAGCGAGGAGGCGUUAACCGCAGAAGAAGCACCGGCUAACUCCGUGCCAGCAGCCGCGGUAAUAC
rnacentral:rRNA from 1 species